GGGGUAUAAGCUCAGUGGUAGAGUGUGUGCUUAGCAUGCACGAGGUCCUGGGUUCAAUCCCCAGAAUUGCCA
rnacentral:tRNA from 1 species